UCGCGCCGGGGGCGAGGUAGACGAUGUUCAGCACUUCGCGGGUGCUGCGGGGGAAGGCGACGCCGUUCGCGUCGGCCGGGGCGAU
rnacentral:tRNA from 1 species